rnacentral:tRNA from 1 species
GCCUUGGUAGCUCAGUGGAUAGAGCACCGCUCUCCUAAAGCGGGUGUCGCAGGUUCGAUUCCUGUUCAGGGCACUA